ensembl:snRNA U6 U6 spliceosomal RNA
GUGCUUGUUUUGGCAGUACAUAUACUAUAAUUGGAACGAUACAGAGAAGAUUAGCAUGGCCCCUGCACAAGGAUGACAUUCAAAUUCAUGAAGCAUUCCAUAUUUUU